AGAGUUUGAUCAUGGCUCAGAGCGAACGCUGGCGGCAUGCUUAACACAUGCAAGUCGCACGGGCAGGGCAACCUGUCAGUGGCGGACGGGUGAGUAACGCGUAGGUAUCUAUCCUUGGGUGGGGGACAACCGUGGGAAACUACGGCUAAUACCGCAUGAUGACUGAGGUCCAAAGGCGCAAGUCGCCUGGGGAGGAGCCUGCGUACGAUUAGCUAGUUGGUGGGGUAAAGGCCUACCAAGGCGACGAUCGUUAGCUGGUCUGAGAGGAUGAUCAGCCACAUUGGGACUGAGACACGGCCCAAACUCCUACGGGAGGCAGCAGUGGGGAAUAUUGGACAAUGGGCGCAAGCCUGAUCCAGCAAUGCCGCGUGUGUGAAGAAGGUCUUCGGACUGUAAAGCACUUUCGACGGGGACGAUGAUGACGGUACCCGUAGAAGAAGCCCCGGCUAACUUCGUGCCAGCAGCCGCGGUAAUACGAAGGGGGCUAGCGUUGCUCGGAAUGACUGGGCGUAAAGGGCGCGUAGGCGGAUGACACAGUCAGAUGUGAAAUUCCCGGGCUUAACCUGGGGGCUGCAUUUGAUACGUGUUGUCUAGAGUGAGGAAGAGGGUAGUGGAAUUCCCAGUGUAGAGGUGAAAUUCGUAGAUAUUGGGAGGAACACCGGUGGCGAAGGCGGCUGCCUGGUCCUUGACUGACGCUGAGGCGCGAAAGCGUGGGGAGCAAACAGGAUUAGAUACCCCCGUAGUCC
rnacentral:rRNA from 1 species